rnacentral:lncRNA from 1 species
AUCUAAUGAGCAGAGGAAAGGAAUGUUCUCGUGAAAUCAUGCAUCUGCCUUCUGCUGCCAUUUGCUGAUGGAGAGCCAUCUAAUUUGAUUUUCUCUUUGGGUAAAAGUACAAGAUGGUUGCUGUCAUAUUUCCAAUACACCCAUUGUCCAUCUGCCUGCCCCCCUUCAUUUUCUCCAGGGGACUUUGACUUCCAGCCACUUUUAUAGUGGAUAUGCAUCUUAGAACACCCUGAUCUAGCACCUGCUUGGUACCAUCUGGAGAGAGGGGUGGACCACAAGUCACCCUGGAGAGAGGGGAAGUUCUGGGAACGGACAGAGCCAUUGUGUUGCCCUUUUACAUUUGUGUAUUUCCUUAGCCCUUAUUCUGAGCUACACAUUUCUCCACUGUUUCACAUGGUACCUGAAACACAUGCUCAGCAGACAUCACCUGACCAGCUUGGAAGGACUGGUGGCUCCACAAGGCUCAAGAGCACAACGUGUGGGCUGGAACAAGGGCUGAGGAGUUAAGAGCAUUUGUUGUUCCUGCAUGUGAUGGUUUGUACAAGCUUGGGCCAGGGAGUGGCACUAUUAGGAGGUGAGGCCUUGUUGGAGUAGGUGUGUCACUGUGAGUGUGGGCUUAAGACCCUCAUCCUAGCUGCCUGGAAGCCAGUAUUCUGCUAGCAGCCUUCAGAUGACGAUGUAGAACUUCCAGCUCCUCCUGCACCAUGCCUGCCUGGAUGCUGUCAUGUUCCUACCUUGAUGAUAAUGGACUGAACUCUGAACCUGAAAGCCAGCCCCAAUUAAGUGUUGUCCUUAUAAGAGUUGCCUCAAUCAUGGUGUCUGUUCACAGCAGUAAAACCCUAACUAAGGCACUGCAAAAGACCAGGGUUCAGUUCUAAGCAUCCACACAGUAUCUUACAGCCAUCCAUUGCUCCAUCUCUGGGAGAUUUGAUAGCAUCUUCUGACAUCUGUAGGCACCAGGCAUGCAUGUGGUGAAUAGAUGUGCAUGCAGGAAAACCACUCAUACACAUAAAAUAAAAAUAAAUAAUCUUUUUUUUAAAGUACCAACUAUGGUGAGGCUUUAUAGCCAGGUCACCUGUAUCUCUUCCUUCCUUGUAUCUCUGUUUUUUUCCUUUAAAUUUAGAUUAAGAACAAUGUCUAGAGCUACAGCUGAGUUUACUGACCCGAGCCUGUACUCUCAGAGGCCUAACCCAGAUCUGGAGUUCAAAGCCAGUCUGGGCCUCUCUCAAGAGACAGAAAACAAAUAAAUGAACAAAAAUCAGAGCACAGACCCCUGUAGUAGCUACUGUAGAGGUUAAAUGAGAUGCUAUAGGCCAAGCAGAUGCCUGGCUCAAAGGAAGUAUACAACAGAUAGAGACUGCUACAACAGACCACAACCAAUCAAAAUGCAGAGUCGUGGACCCCAGUCCAUUGGAUACAUCUAUCAAGCACUCCCAGACCUACGGCUUAGGGAACUUGCAGAAGAUGUGGGGGAAAGACUAUAAGAUCUAGAAAGGAUGGUAGAGUUCUCUGUGAGGUUGUGUCUCCUAGGAAUGUCAGAACCUAAACCCAAAGAGUACCGCCAACAUGGCUGCUCACUGUGAGCUGAACAGAGAUAACAACAAAGAACAUGGAGAAGUGGAGGGGGGAAGGAAAAAAAGCCUCAACCAUACACAAAGGACUGGAGGUGACUAAGGAAAGCUGGCAGCAGGAGAGGUGGCCUUAGCCAAACAGUCAGCCCUGGAAACAGACAUAUAAGUAACAUCAUGAGCAGGUUAUAUUUCGGAAUAUAUAUGUAUAUGCAAUAACAAGUGAAUAAAAGAGACCAUGAAUUUGAAGGAAGCAGCAGCAGCAGGGUGGGGAAGGGAUGUAUAUGGAGAAAUGUUAUAAUUAAAUUAUAAUCUCCAAAAAAAAUUUUAAAAAGGAAGUGCUCAGCAAAAUUUUGCUAGCUUGGGAAGAAGGCUGUGUGGGCGGUCUGCACCACUGGGAACAAAAUGGUGAGUGAACGGCCCCUAUGGCUUACAUUCUCGAGAGCAAAGAGAGGCAGAGUGUAAACAGAUCAAAUAAACCAAAUUGGAAUGCUCUACAGGAAACCAAAGGGCUCUGCAGUGGGCAGUGGUGAAGGGGCUGCUUCAGAGUCCACAUCAGAGGAGGAGGCCCCAGGGGAGACAGCCUUUACAGUAACUAAGAGAAGGAGGGUCCGAAGAAGUCAGCCACUUGA